UCCACCAUUCACUUCUUUAUCUGAUCCAAAAGGGUUUGUUCUUGAUGAAUUGCUGAAGUUGUUGCCGUUAAAAUCUCGGGUUUUUGUUGUACUUCAAGCAUCGUUACCUAUGGUGAACCAUUUGUUUAGAGAAGCUAAGAAAAUUGGAUUAUUGGAGAAAGAAUCAUCUUGGAUAAUCAAUGAGGAGAUUACAAGCAUGUUGGAGAAUGUAGAUAAAUCUGUUUUAUCUUCUAUGAAAGGUGUUUUGGGAAUCAAAACCAACUAUUCUACAAGCUCUAGUGCUUAUACUCAUUUGCAGGAAAAAUUUCAAGCUGAGAAUACAGAAAAAGUUGAGUUCAAACCAGGAUCAAAUGUUUUGCUAGCUUAUGAUAGCAUCACAAUUGUCACAAAGGCUUUGGAGAAAAUGAAUACUAAUUCUAGUAGCUCAAAGACGUUAUUGCAGGAGAUGUUAUCCUCCGAUUUCAAUGGCUUAAUUGGUGAUAUAAGAUUCAAAGAAAGACAACUAUCCUACACUCCAAUAUUAAGAGUCAUCAAAGUGGUUGAUAAUGAUAAGAAAGAUACUGAAUUGGACUUUUGGACACCAAAGUUGAAGUUUGCUAGAUCUCUUAGAGAGAAAACAAAUGAUGGUACUAAAGAAGAAAGAUCAAAUGACUGUCUACCUAAGAAAUGGAAAAUACCGAAUGAUACAAACCCUUUACAAGUUGCAAUUCCUAUGAAUCCCGCAUUUGAUAACUUUGUGAAAGUCUCUCAAAAUCAAACUCCUACCGGUUUUUGUAUUGAACUUUUUAAAGAGAUUCGAAAAAUUCUGAGUGAGCAGUAUUCUGGUCUUCCCUAUAAUUUUAUCCCUUUCUCCGAAUCUUUUGAUGAUAUUUUGCUUAAAGUAAAAGAUGAGGUAAACUCAACAUUAUAUUUUUGUCAAUUUGUAUUUUUUAAUUUUUGUUUCACAAUUUCAUUUGUCUCUUUCAAUAUAUACAUUUCACACAUAAAUGGCAUAACAUUACAUAGCAUGUAGAUCAAAUAUCAUGUUUUCUCAAAACCAAUGCAUGUUGGGACUGACGGUGAGUUUGACAAAAAUCUAGGCAUGCGACAUGAUUUUGGCCUAAACUACAUUUUUAAGUUUAAACAAAAAUAAGUGUCACCGCGAUUCCAAACAUGCACUAGAACAAAUGAAAAUGUUUCAUUUUUUUCCAAACAAAAAUGGAAGAAGGAAGCUAAUACUAUUGCAGACCUAUGAUGCUAUUGUAGGAGAUGUAACAAUACUUGCCAAACGAGCAAGAGAGGUAUCAUUCACUCAACCAUAUACUGAAUCAGGCUUAUCACUCAUACUUCCAGCAGAAACUGAAGAUUCAGCAUGGUUGUUUAUGAAACCAUUUAGCUCGGUAAUGUGGAUUGCAACUACUGGUAUCCUAAUCUACACAAUGAUUGCCGUUUGGUUCUUAGAACACCACUUGAAUCCUGAAUUUGGUGGACCAUUGAAAACACAAAUCAGCACGACUCUAUGGUUUGCGUUUUCUUCUCUAUUUUUUGCACAGAGUAAGUAUAGAUUACAAAAGUUCAAAAUUUUCUGAUUUACUGUAACGCUUUAGAAUUUGGGUUGAGUCUAGUUCACCUCUUCCAAAAUCUGUAUGUAAAGUGAGGACUGUCUCCUCUUAUAAACUUAAGUUCAUGUCUUACCUCAUUCAAUGUGAGGCUGUUAACACCCUCAUCUAGCUUAGAGCUAAACAUCUAGAGCAUGACUCAAUAAUGGUGAUUUGAUAGCAGGUGACACAACUAAUUCAAUACAAAACUAGUAAGGUGAAUACUCCCAAUAAUAAACUUAUGUUCAGACCUUAUCUAUCUAUUUAGUUUGAGAUUCUUAACAAGAGACUCUUAACAAUAUUUACCAUUUUCCACUUAUUCUAUAAAUAUGAAAAAGCAUUUCAACUCUUUAGUGAUUAGAAGUCAAUAACUUUUGUUAUGGAACUUCUGAGCUGCAAUACUUACAAAGUUUAAUUCUUAGAAAAGCUUGAGAUGUUAAAUUUAAUAAAUAUUGCUUCUUCAUUUGGAAAAUCCUACUUUUGCAAACUAAUUAAUAGUAACAAGUUAAUUGUUUCUGAUGCAUACCAGAGGAGAAAAUAAACAGCAACUCAGCAAGAGUAGUAGUUGGAGUAUGGUUAUUUCUUGUGUUUGUUCUGACCUCAAGCUACACUGCAAAUCUUUCAUCAUUGCUUACUGUCCAAAAAUUGAGGUCUGACAGAGACAUUGAAUGGCUUAAACAAAACAAUCUAUCAGUUGGUUGUGAUAACACUAGUACCUUUGUAAAGGACUACUUGAUCCAAGUGUAUAAAUUCUCUACGCAUCAAGUUGUAGAAGUUGGGGAUGAACAAGACACUUUGGAUAAAUUCAAGAACAAAAAAAUUUCUGCUCUAUUUGCUGAGAGCCCAUACGAGAAGGUUUUCUUGAAUAAAUACUGCAAAGAAUACACUUCAACUACAGCAGCCUAUAAAUUUGGAGGAUUGGGAUUUGUCAGUGCCUAAAACUUCUUAUUUUGGACAAUUUACUUUUACAAAAAGUUAAUAGUUGUCUUUUCAAAGUACAUUAGUAUCUAUUUUAGUUUUGCAUACUCAUGUUUGGUUUCAUGCUCUAUGAUUUUGCAGGUUUUUCAAAAAGACGAUCCAAUGGCAAAAGACUUUUCUGAAGCAAUUUUAACACUGGCAGAAAAUGGAAAAUUAAAAGAUUUGGAAAAUAUAUGGUUAACACCUUCCAAUAAAUGCUCAAACAACUCACCAUCUCCAGAAGAAACUGAGAGUCUGACUCUUGACAAAUUUUGGGGACUCUAUGUCAUAUGUGCUGCCACAUCCACCAUCUGCUUACUACUAGCUUUGUUGAAGAAGCGUUUACGUAACCAUAACCACUAUGAAGAAGCUGAUCAACUUCCUCAAGGAAGUGUAAUCUCCGAAUCUGAUGAUGAUAAUAAUAAUAAUUCUCAGAGAGCAAUUAGAGUUGGUACAGGUUUAAACAUUGAGAAUCUCAUUAAAUUAAAUAAAUCUGCAACUUUUGGUGGACGUGUAAAAGAAGGUGUACGUCGUAGAAAUUCACCAAAAUUGGAGAGUAUAAGCAUUUCUGAUGAACAGGGCGAUCUUCCUCACUCCCAAUCAGCUGCCAUGCCAUAGAAAUGAUAUAAUUCAUAUUAUGUAAUAGCUAACCAUAUACAUUCCAACUUUUAUGUGUUUAAUUUUAACAAUUGUAGUAGUAGCAAUUAUGAAAACCCUAUAGUAAUUUUAACACAAAUAUAUGUAUUUUAAAGUUAGUAUCUAAUGUGAUUCGUUUCAUCAGUCUCCUCCUGAAAAACAUGCAAUAUCAUCAGUUCUUCACCUCACUAUAUAUGAUUCAGUAUGGGAAAAAAGUUCUUCCUACAAUAAGCGCAAUGCUGCACUUGCAAAAUUCAACUAUUACAAUG
rnacentral:lncRNA from 1 species